GAUGAACGCUGGCGGCGUGCCUAAUACAUGCAAGUCGAGCGAACGGACGAGAAGCUUCCUUCUCUGAUGUUAGCGGCGGACGGGUGAGUAACACGUGGAUAACCUACCUAUAAGACUGGGAUAACUUCGGGAAACCGUAGCUAAUACCGGAUAAUAUUUUGAACCGCAUGGUUCAAAAGUGAAAGACGGUCUUGCUGUCACUUAUAGAUGGAUCCGCGCUGCAUUAGCUAGUUGGUAAGGUAACGGCUUACCAAGGCAACGAUGCAUAGCCGACCUGAGAGGGUGAUCGGCCACACUGGAACUGAGACACGGUCCAGACUCCUACGGGAGGCAGCAGUAGGGAAUCUUCCGCAAUGGGCGAAAGCCUGACGGAGCAACGCCGCGUGAGUGAUGAAGGUCUUCGGAUCGUAAAACUCUGUUAUUAGGGAAGAACAUAUGUGUAAGUAACUGUGCACAUCUUGACGGUACCUAAUCAGAAAGCCACGGCUAACUACGUG
rnacentral:rRNA from 1 species